rnacentral:rRNA from 1 species
UACGUAGGUGGCAAGCGUUGUUCGGAAUUACUGGGCGUAAAGCGCGUGUAGGCUGCCCCAUAACCCCGAAAGGGGGCAAGUCAGGUGUGAAAGCCCUGGGCUCAACCUAGGAAGUGCACUUGAAACUGCGGAGCUUGAAUGCCGGAGAGGGUAGCGGAAUUCUCGGUGUAGAGGUGAAAUUCGUAGAUAUCGAGAGGAACACCGGUGGCGAAGGCGGCUACCUGGACGGCUAUUGACGCUGAGACGCGAAAGCGUGGGGAGCAAACAGG